rnacentral:lncRNA from 1 species
CCUGCCGGGGGCAGCCCGCCCCGGCCGGCGCGUCCCCGCCCCCGGCACUGGUAGCGGCUGCUCGAGCACCCCCGCCGGCUCCCCGCCGCUCGACCGGGGCUCGGGCUGGGGCCGGGGCCGGGCGGGGGGUGGCGGGCUCGCACGGGCCCGGAGCUUUCUAGUUUCCAGCCGCGCGUAGUCACCGCGCCGCGGUACGCUGCCCAGGUGUCCUUCAUUAGUCAAGACUGUGAAGAAAUUCCAGAAUUCCUAGGAACAAAAUAUGGACAUAUGGCGAAAAGGCUAGAUCUUAGCUUCAACUCGUUAAGGAACCAGAUGUGA